rnacentral:rRNA from 1 species
AUACGUAGGGGGCGAGCGUUGUCCCGAAUGAUUGGGCGUAAACGGCGCGUAGGCGGCCCGGUAAGUCUGGAGUGAAAGUCCUGUUUUUAAGAUGGGAAUUGCUUUGGAUACUGUCGGGCUUGAGUGCAGGAGAGGUAAGUGGAAUUCCCAGUGUAGCGGUGAAAUGCGUAGAGAUUGGGAGGAACACCAGUGGCGAAGGCGACUUACUGGACUGUAACUGACGCUGAGGCGCGAAAGUGUGGGGAGCAAACAGGAUUAGAUACCCUGGUAGUCCACACUGUAAACGAUGAAUGCUAGGUGUAGGGGGUAUCGACCCCUUCUGUGCCGCAGUCAACACAAUAAGCAUUCCGCCUGGGGAGUACGGCCGCAAGGUUGAAACUUAAAGGAAUUGGCGGGG